UCCUGGACUCAGGACGAACGCUGGCGGCACGCCUAACACAUGCAAGUCGAGCGGAGAUUGAGAGCUUGCUCUCAUGAUCAGCGGCGGACGGGUGAGUAACACGUGAGCAACCUGCUUCAGUGGGGGACAACAGUUGGAAACGACUGCUAAUACCGCAUGAUGCUUUUGGGAGACAUCUCCUGGAAGCCAAAGCUUUUAUGUGCUGAAAGAUGGCCUCGCGUCUGAUUAGCUAGUUGGUGAGGUAACGGCUCACCAAGGCGACGAUCAGUAGCCGGUCUGAGAGGAUGAACGGCCACAUUGGGACUGAGAUACGGCCCAGACUCCUACGAGAGGCAGCAGUGGGGAAUAUUGGGCAAUGGGGGAAACCCUGACCCAGCAACGCCGCGUGAAGGAAGAAGGCCUUCGGGUUGUAAACUUCUUUUACCAGGGACGAAGGACGUGACGGUACCUGGAGAAAAAGCAACGGCUAACUACGUG
rnacentral:rRNA from 1 species